CAAUAGCGUAUAUUUAAGUUGCUGCAGUUAAAAAGCUCGUAGUUGGAUUUCGGGUGGGAAUGGCCGGUCCGCCGUUUCGGUGUGCACUUGCUACGCCCACCUUGCUGCCGGGGACGUGCUCUUGAGUUCACGCUCGGGACACGGAGUCGGCGAGGUUACUUUGAGUAAAUUAGAGUGUUCAAAGCAGGCCUACGCUCUGAAUACAUUAGCAUGGAAUAACACGAUAGGACUCUGGCCUAUCUUGUUGGUCUGUAGGACCGGAGUAAUGAUUAAGAGGGACAGUCGGGGGCAUUCGUAUUUCAUUGUCAGAGGUGAAAUUCUUGGAUUUAUGAAAGACGAACUACUGCGAAAGCAUUUAUCAAGGAUGUUUUCAUUAA
rnacentral:rRNA from 1 species